AUUCAUUCUGAACUGGGAGCGGGUAUCAUUAUUCUGUACUGUAACUAACUAUUACUGUACUUUCCUGAAACGCCAUCAUGUGGACACACAAGCAGCUGUUUGGACUCUCAUUCUGACGGCACCCAUUCACUGCAGAGGAUCCAUUGGUGGGCAAGUGAUGUGAUGCUACAUUUCUCCAAAGCUGUUCUGAUGAAGAAACAAACUCAUCUACAUCUUGGAUGACCUGAGGAUUUCCAUGCAUCUACUCACUGGAGAGCUGUGUGUUCUUGCAUCGUGCCGUUUGCUGCUGCCGUUGGGGCUUUUUGGUUGAGCUG